GCGGAGCUGCUGGGUGCGUCAGGCUAUACAUCCCCAGGGCCAGUAAGCAUCUCCCUCGGGAGCUGGCUCUGUUGUGAUCUUGGUCAUGAUAUCUGGCGCCCACCUGCACAAGCAGGCUCUGGGAGGAUGACACGCCAACGGCCAUGGUGGCUCCGCA
rnacentral:other from 1 species